UACAGAGGUCCCAAGCAUUGUUCGGAUUCACUGGGCGUAAAGGGUGCGUAGGCGGUCGGGUAAGUCUGAUGUGAAAUCUCACAGCUUAACUGUGAAACUGCAUUGGAUACUAUCCGGCUCGAGGAAUGGAGGGGAGACUGGAAUACUUGGUGUAGCAGUGAAAUGCGUAGAUAUCAAGUGGAACACCAGUGGCGAAGGCGAGUCUCUGGACAUUUCCUGACGCUGAGGCACGAAAGCGUGGGGAGCAAACAGG
rnacentral:rRNA from 1 species